rnacentral:rRNA from 1 species
GACGAACGCUGGCGGCGUGCUUAACACAUGCCAGUCGAACGGAAAGGCCCUGCUUGCAGGGUACUCGAGUGGCGAACGGGUGAGUAACACGUGGGUGAUCUGCCCUGCACUUCGGGAUAAGCCUGGGAAACUGGGUCUAAUACCGGAUAGGAGCCAUUUUUAGUGUGAUGGUUGGAAAGUUUUUUCGGUGUAGGAUGAGCUCGCGGCCUAUCAGCUUGUUGGUGGGGUAAUGGCCUACCAAGGCGGCGACGGGUAGCCGGCCUGAGAGGGUGGACGGCCACAUUGGGACUGAGAUACGGCCCAGACUCCUACGGGAGGCAGAAGUGGGGAAUAUUGCACAAGGGGCGCAAGCCUGAUGCAGCGACGCCGCGUGGGGGAGGACGGCCUUCGGGUUGUAAACUCCUUUCGCUAGGGACGAAGCUUUUUGUGACGGUACCUAGAGAAGAAGCACCGGCUAACUACGUG